UACGGGGGGGGCAAGCGUUGUUCGGAAUUACUGGGCGUAAAGGGCUCGUAGGCGGCCAUCUAAGUCAGACGUGAAAUCCCCGGGCUCAACCCGGGAACUGCGUUCGAUACUGGUUGGCUUGAAUCCGGGAGAGGGAUGCAGAAUUCCAGGUGUAGCGGUGAAAUGCGUAGAUAUCUGGAGGAAUACCGGUGGCGAAGGCGGCAUCCUGGACCGGCAUUGACGCUGAGGCGCGAAAGCUAGGGGAGCGAACGGG
rnacentral:rRNA from 1 species